GUCUGCAACCCGACUACAUGAAGCUGGAAUCGCUAGUAAUCGCGGAUCAGAAUGCCGCGGUGAAUACGUUCCCGGGUCUUGUACACACCGCCCGUCACACCAUGGGAGUCGGAAAUGCCCGAAGUCUGUGACCCAACCUGAGAAGGAGGGAGCAGCCGAAGGCAGGUCGGAUGACUGGGGUGAAGUCGUAACAAGGUACC
rnacentral:rRNA from 1 species